GCCGGCAAUGACGUAUGCCUCCACAGUGUGGGGGUAUGCGGCAGAAACCUACCUGUUACAUCUUCAGGCCACAGAAAAUAAACUUCUGGGGAUGGCCAUAGAUGCUCCCUGGUUUGAACGUAAUAGUCAAAUUUACAGGGACCUGGAGUGGGAGCCACUGAGACUUUCUGCAGCGGAGAGCUGCCCGGACCUUUGAAAAGGCCGAAAACCACCCCUUUGUUGAGCUACGAAAUGCCGUAGAUUACUCACCAGAGGAUUAUGGGCCGAGGCACCAGAUGGCCCAACAGGGCAAUAGGUAAAGCAGUUGACUGCAAAGCGCUGUAAGUGUGAAACCCAGUUAAAAUAGUGUGAUAGAAGUAGUGUUGUGUAGUGCUUGUGUUAAAUACGCUCCAUAAGUGGUAACGUCACAAAUUAGACAUAUUCAGAGACUGUAUCUAAGCAAAGCAAAUUUGCAUUUGAGUUAAAUACAAAGUUUCCAAAGUGUGCUGAUUAUCUUAGCAGUGAAGAAAAAGAAGCAUUCUAAGGUAUGUAUUUGCAUUUAGGAGUGUUUUAGUAACGAUUCGACAUUGAAAUCAUAGCGUAAUUAUUAGCGGUUUUCUUUAUUUUCGACGAAAAUGUCUUGGUAACCUCAAACUUGAUGUAAACGGAUAGCAGACUUCGUAGUUUAUUAGUAACUGUGUUAAAACCUGUUAUUUGUAUUAGAAUAAUGGUUAUGUGUUGGGCUCCUGAAUAUAAAAAUUAUGAUGAUCGUGAAAAUGUUUGUUUUUCCGGUUUCCAAAACACCCACCCACACGAAAUCGAUGGAUAAAGUUGGUACGGGUAGUAAAUCUUAUAUUGUUAUUUGUAAACCGAAUGUUAUGCUUGAAAAUGAUUUAUAGGAGAACUCUAUAGAGCCCGGUCCUGGUGCCCUUGUAUGCAGUAGUCAUUUUCUUGAUGGGAAUAAUUAAAAUGGCCCUAUACAGCUCUUGGCCUUAUUACAGUGCCUUGUCGCAAAAUAGUUAAAGUAUCGGGUCCCGAAAAAUGAGCAGAAGGAAAAUAUCUGCCGUAGUAGAAACACCAAGCGACCAUUUGAGCACAAAACCUGAAACUGAGCCACAACCUUCGACUUCGACUGAAGGUAUUCCUGAAACCUUUAUGUCUACAGCACGGAUUUAUGCUGAAAAUUAUUUUCGCCAACAACUACAGGAAGCUUUAAUGGGACUUUACAAUUUAUCUGAACGUUUAUCAAUUGAAAGUAUAAAACAAAAUGACAUCUUAUUAUUUAUGUAUUUUUCUACUUAUGCUAUAUUUGAAUGUUUGUUUGCAUUACUCAAAGAUAUAAGUAGUUUGUUAUUAUGACUGAAAAGUUGAAAAACUUAGUAAGCAAGAUCAGUUACUCAUAACUCUCAUGAAACUGUAGCUGUUAGGCUGAAUGUUUCGCAGUCUAAAAUAUACAGAAUUACAGUAA